GACGAACGCUGGCGGCAGGCCUAACACAUGCAAGUCGAACGAGUGGCGGACGGGUGAGUAAUGUCUGGGAAACUGCCUGAUGGAGGGGGAUCACUACUGGAAACGGUAGCUAAUACCGCAUACCAUCAGAUGUGCCCAGAUGGGAUUAGCUAGUUGGUGGGGGACCGGCUCACCAAGGCGACGAUCCCUAGCUGGUCUGAGAGGAUGACCAGCCACACUGGAACUGAGACACGGUCCGGAGUCCUACGGGAGGAAGCAGUGGGGAAUAGUGCACAAUGGGCGCAAGCCUGAUGCAGCCAGGCCGCGUGUAUGAAGAAGGCCUUCGGGGUGUAAAGUACGUUCAGCGGGUAGGCGUUACCCGCAGAAGAAGCACCGGCUAACUCCGUGCCAGCAGCCGCGGUAAUAC
rnacentral:rRNA from 1 species